UGCUUUUAGAGAUAGAUGAAUCUGUAAAUCAUCAGCAAAACAAUGAAAUGAGAUGCUGUACCGCGAGAAGAUGGAGCCCAAUGGCAACAAAUAGAGUGCGAACAGGGCAGGACCCAAAAUAGAGCCUUGAGGUACACCGUAUUUAAGAGGGGCUAUUUUGGAGUUGUGGGGGCCCAUAUUGACAUGAAAAGACCUUUCUGACAAAUAGGACCGAAACCACUGUAGGGCAGAUCCUUUUAGGCCAGCAUGAAAUUCUAGCCGUGAUAACAGGAUGUCAUGGUCGACCGUGUCAAAAGCUGCUGACAAGUCCAACAAUAAAAGGGCAGCAGGGCUGCCAGAGUCCAGAGUUAAAAGAAUAUCGUUAAAAAUCCUUAAAAGUGCCGUCUCAGUGCUAUGUAGUGAUUUAAAACCAGAUUGAAAUUUUUCAGAGAUCAUAUUAAAAUCAAGGUGGGCCUGCAGCCACCUCAGAUGAAGCAAACACCAUGUAGGUGAAACCCUCUAUUUUGAAACUGAAAGACAGGUUCAGCUCGCCAGCGGUGUCAUGGUCCCCGCACCUCGCCGGCUGACAACAGUCAGGCGCUAUGUGUGUUGUUUAUUCUCUUCUCUCGCACCUGCUCUCUCUUUCUCUCUCGUCCUCUCCCUCUCUCUCUUUUCCCUGCCGAGGCGGAGCUCAGUAUGGGCUCCCGCCUCUGGCCCACGCACCUGGGGAUGAUCAGCACACCUGCCGCUGAUUACCAGAAUUAGAGUCCUACUUAAGAUGGCGAGUCUGCUCUACUCGUCGCUGGAUCGUUGAGCCAUCAGCAUUCCCCCCGGACCCGUUUCCCGGUGCACUGUGAUUGAACGUGAGCAAGAGUGGUUGAGGAAAGAAGAGGAGCUGUGUGUGUUUGCGAGAGCUGUAUGGAAAUCUCCCCUCCCUGGA